CAGUUUGGGCGCGAAGCUUCCGGUGACGUGAGCGGCGACUUUGGGCCGCGGCAACGUGCUGUCCUCUGGCACCAGCGAGGGCAGAACCCGAGACACUUCAUCUGAACAGGAAGUGGCCCCACGGAUGUGAACUUCCUGCUUCCAUGGAGGCGCAAGAUAGAAACCGGAGUACAGAAAACACAAAGACAGAUGGAAUCGAACGUGAGAUUGUGGCGGAAAACGAAGGAGAAAAUCAUCCUGAGCUUUGGGAUGCGGGAAAGUUGCGCAGUUCCCGGAGACGGAGGAAGAGCUGCUGCAGAUUGGAGCCGAACGGAGGGCAAGCGGCUGCGCUCUCCAACUUGGUCU